rnacentral:tRNA from 1 species
GGGCGAGUAGCUCAGAUGGUUAGAGCGCGUGUCUCACAUACACGAGGUCAGGGGUUCAAGUCCCUUCUCGCCCA